rnacentral:tRNA from 1 species
GGGAGUGUAGCUCAGUGGUAGAGCAUUCGACUGCAGAUCGAGAGGUCAGUGGUUCAACUCCAUUCGCUCCCU